rnacentral:rRNA from 1 species
UACGUAGGGGGCUAGCGUUGCCCGGAAUGACUGGGCGUAAAGGGCGCGUAGGCGGAUGGCUUUGUCGGGCGUGAAAUUCCAGGGCUUAACCUUGGGGCUGCGUUCGAGACGGGUUGUCUUGAGUGGGGAAGAGGGUCGUGGAAUUCCCAGUGUAGAGGUGAAAUUCGUAGAUAUUAGGAAGAACACCGGUGGCGAAGGCGGCGACCUGGGCCUUUACUGACGCUGAGGCGCGAAAGCGUGGGGAGCAAACAGG